rnacentral:rRNA from 1 species
GACGGAGGGUGCAAGCGUUGUUCGGAUUCACUGGGCGUAAAGGGUGCGCAGGCGGUCGGGUGUGUCAGAUGUGAAAUCCCGAGGCUCAACCUCGGAACUGCGUCUGAAACUACUCGACUAGAGUACUGGAGAGGGUAACGGAAUUCACGGUGUAGCAGUGAAAUGCGCAGAUAUCGGGAGGAAUACCGGUGGCGAAGGCGGCAUCCUGGACCGGCAUUGACGCUGAGGUGCGAAAGCGUGGGAGCAAACAGGGAU